UAAAGAUUUUUUUUUUUGUUGUUGUUGUUUUUGAAUUACAGACACUGAAGACUGUUGCCUUGCUGAAAACCUCUGACUGAUGCUGUAGAACAGGACGCUUAAGAUUGUGUCUGCUGUGGGAUGCUAUUUCUCUGGUACUUAUCAAUUUGGGCUUCUUCCAGGAGCUGAAAACCGAUUACAAAUAUGAAACAGAUUUCACUAUCUGGAUUUGAACUUACAUUAAAAAAAAUAACAAGCUCCACAAAAUAAUUGAAAAAGACCCUCUCCAAAGAGUAGCUGCAAUGUGAAUGGGAGGAGAUCAAGGAAGUAAGAGGUAAAUUUUGAAUG
rnacentral:lncRNA from 1 species